rnacentral:rRNA from 1 species
UACGGAGGGGGCUAGCGUUGUUCGGAAUUACUGGGCGUAAAGCGCACGUAGGCGGCUUUGUAAGUUAGAGGUGAAAGCCCAGGGCUUAACCCUGGAAUUGCCUUUAAGACUGCAUCGCUUGAAUCGUGGAGAGGUGAGUGGAAUUCCGAGUGUAGAGGUGGAAUUCGUAGAUAUUCGGAAGAACACCAGUGGCGAAGGCGACUCACUGGACACGUAUUGACGCUGAGGUGCGAAAGCGUGGGGAGCAAACAGG